rnacentral:lncRNA from 1 species
UCUGAUUUUAUGUUUAAUUCAUAUUAAUUUCAUUUUUAAUCCAAAAAACAUGGGAUUUUCACCAAAAAUCUUUAAAUAUUUUUCUCUUUCAUAUUAUGAAUUAAAAUUAUUUUUUGGAUUAAUUUUGAUAUUUUUUAUGAAUUAAAUGUUUUUGUGUAUAUUUUUAAUUGUUUAAAAAUACUUCUGACUUUUCAAAAAUCAUGAAAUUUUU